rnacentral:rRNA from 1 species
AUGAACGCUAGCUACAGGCUUAACACAUGCAAGUCGAGGGGCAGCAUUUUAGUUUGCUUGCAAACUGAAGAUGGCGACCGGCGCACGGGUGAGUAACACGUAUCCAACCUGCCGAUAACUCCGGAAUAGCCUUUCGAAAGAAAGAUUAAUACCGGAUAGCAUACGAAUAUCGCAUGAUAUUUUUAUUAAAGAAUUUCGGUUAUCGAUGGGGAUGCGUUCCAUUAGUUUGUUGGCGGGGUAACGGCCCACCAAGACUACGAUGGAUAGGGGUUCUGAGAGGAAGGUCCCCCACAUUGGAACUGAGACACGGUCCAAACUCCUACGGGAGGCAGCAGUGAGGAAUAUUGGUCAAUGGGCGAGAGCCUGAACCAGCCAAGUAGCGUGAAGGAUGAAGGCUCUAUGGGUCGUAAACUUCUUUUAUAUGGGAAUAAAGUUUUCCACGUGUGGAAUUUUGUAUGUACCAUAUGAAUAAGGAUCGGCUAACUCCGUGCCAGCAGCCGCGGUAAUACGGAGGAUCCGAGCGUUAUCCGGAUUUAUUGGGUUUAAAGGGAGCGUAGGUGGAUUGUUAAGUCAGUUGUGAAAGUUUGCGGCUCAACCGUAAAAAUUGCAGUUGAAACUGGCAGUCUUGAGUACAGUAGACGUGGGCGGAAUUCCUGGUGUAGCGGUGAAAUGCUUAGAUAUCACGAAGAACUCCGAUUGCGAAGGCAGCUCACUAAACUGUCCCUGACACUGGCGCUCGAAAGUGUGGGUAUCAAACAGGAUUAGAUACCCUGGUAGUCCCACACAGUAAACGAUGAAUACUCGCUGUUUGCGAUAUACAGUAAGCGGCCAAGCGAAAGCAUUAAGUAUUCCACCUGGGGGAGUACGCCGGCAACGGUGAAACUCAAAGGAAUUGACGGGGGGCCCGCACAAGCGGAGGAACAUGUGGUUUAAUUCGAUGAUACGCGAGGAACCUUACCCGGGCUUAAAUUGCAACAGAAUAUAUUGGAAACAGUAUAGCCGUAAGGCUGUUGUGAAGGUGCUGCAUGGUUGUCGUCAGCUCGUGCCGUGAGGUGUCGGCUUAAGUGCCAUAACGAGCGCAACCCUUAUCUUUAGUUACUAACAGGUUAUGCUGAGGACUCUAGAGAGACUGCCGUCGUAAGAUGUGAGGAAGGUGGGGAUGACGUCAAAUCAGCACGGCCCUUACGUCCGGGGCUACACACGUGUUACAAUGGGGGGUACAGAAGGCGGCUACCUGGUGACAGGAUGCUAAUCCCAAAAACCUCUCUCAGUUCGGAUCGAAGUCUGCAACCCGACUUCGUGAAGCUGGAUUCGCUAGUAAUCGCGCAUCAGCCAUGGCGCGGUGAAUACGUUCCCGGGCCUUGUACACACCGCCCGUCAAGCCAUGAAAGCCGGGGGUACCUGAAGUACGUAACCGCAAGGAGCGUCCUAGGGUAAAACUGGU